rnacentral:rRNA from 1 species
GAUGAACGCUGGCGGCGUGCCUAAUACAUGCAAGUCGAGCGAACAGAUGAGGAGCUUGCUCCUCUGACGUUAGCGGCGGACGGGUGAGUAACACGUGGAUAACCUACCUAUAAGACUGGGAUAACUUCGGGAAACCGGAGCUAAUACCGGAUAAUAUAUUGAACCGCAUGGUUCAAUAGUGAAAGACGGUUUUGCUGUCACUUAUAGAUGGAUCCGCGCCGCAUUAGCUAGUUGGUAAGGUAACGGCUUACCAAGGCGACGAUGCGUAGCCGACCUGAGAGGGUGGUCGGCCACACUGGAACUGAGACACGGUCCAGACUCCUACGGGAGGCAGCAGUAGGGAAUCUUACGCAAUGGGCGAAAGCCUGACGGAGCAACGCCGCGUGAGUGAUGAAGGUCUUCGGAUCGUAAAGCUCUGUUAUUAGGGAAGAACAAAUGUGUAAGUAACUAUGCACGUCUUGACGGUACCUAAUCAGAAAGCCACGGCUAACUACGUG